UACGGGGGGGGCAAGCGUUGUUCGGAAUUACUGGGCGUAAAGGGCUCGUAGGCGGCCAACUAAGUCGGAUGUGAAAUCCCCAGGCUCAACCUGGGAACUGCAUCCGAUACUGGAUGGCUUGAAUCCGGGAGAGGGACGCAGAAUUCCAGGUGUAGCGGUGAAAUGCGUAGAUAUCUGGAGGAAUACCGGUGGCGAAGGCGGCAUCCUGGACCGGCAUUGACGCUGAGGAGCGAAAGCCAGGGGAGCAAACGGG
rnacentral:rRNA from 1 species